rnacentral:rRNA from 1 species
UGCCAGCAGCCGCGGUAACACGGGGGGCGCAAGCGUUAUUCGGAAUUAUUGGGCGUAAAGGGCGCGUAGGCUGUCCUGUAAGCGGUGUGUGAAAGCCCGGGGCUCAACCCCGGAACUGCAUACCGAACUGCAGGGCUAGGGGACGAGAGGGGAGCAUGGAACUCUAGGUGGAGCGGUGAAAUGCGUAGAUAUCUAGAGGAACGCCGGUGGCGAAAGCGAUGCUCUGGCUCGCCCCUGACGCUGAGGCGCGAAAGCGUGGGUAGCAAACAGGAUUAGAUA